UACAACGUAAAAGUCACUCUAGCACAGCUCACGUUAUUACUCCACUCUUCCUACGAGAACAUUUCAUCUGACCACUGACCAUAAGCCACACUUCCGACUGCACUUGGAACAGAAAAGGUGUCUGCUCUACUGAAGGGGACUCGUCUGGACAGUGGACUGAGGUCAUAGUUGGCAAUGCCCUUAUCUUUGGCAGACUUUGCCACCAUCAGUAUCUGGUGGUUCUGCCCAAGAAAGAAUUUAAAGGGUCAUGAGAGUCAACACAAAUGCUUUUACUGACCUCUAGUGGUUGAAACUGAAGAUGCAGCACACACUAAGCUAAAUCUAAUUGCGGUUUGCUCUACACACACUAUGUUCAAAAGUUUGUGGACACCCCUUCUGCAUUAAGGUGCACUCACUUUUCACACAGAAAUUCAAAUGCACACUCAGCUUGUAUAGUCUCCAUAGCACUGGCAACACAGCAGGAUGCUCUGGAGCGGCCGCACACGAGCCCAAGGUCAACGUCCAAUGCCAAGCAUAGGCUAGAGGGGUAUGAAUUUUUUUUUUUGAAUAAAAGGGGUUGAUGUGGUGUGUAAACACUGUUAAAGUGUGACAGUGUGUCACACAGUCCCUAGUCAUGUGGGUUUUUGGUGCAUAAACCCUCACAAACGUUACGCACUCAGGGAAAAAAAUAAAAUUUAAGAAUAAUGUAGGAUGUGGGCCCCUUAAAUUACCUGUCAGACUGCUAUCUGGAAAAACAAGUAGUAAUGAUUUGGGACAAUGAAGCCAGUCUUUGAAAUGUCUCUACCAGUUUUGUUCAAGGCCCCAAUCAAGUCCAUUUUAUUUGAAAUGUCACUCCAGUAUGGUUUAAAUGGGCCCAUCUUUCAUUUUCUUGUAUUUAAUUUUCUUCCCUGAGGCUCACUAACAUUUGUUUAUGUACCAAAACACUUAUAAUUAAUUUUUACAACAUUUUCAUUUUUAUAUUAUAUCUAUGUCUUUAAGACUGAAAUAUGUAAGUUUUCUGAUGAUCUUAUACUGUGCCUCAUUUAAAAAGCAGUCAUUUCAGCACUCUUUGUAAACUUUAGCGUAACUGAGUUGGUUUUGUCACAUUACAAAAACAAUGUAACAAUGUGUUUUUGCAGCCCAACUUCUAUAUACACUGACCGGCCACUGUCUGCACUCGUUGUCCAUCAUACAGGUGCACUUUGUAUUUCUACAAUUACAGACUGUAGUUCGCCUGUUUCUCCAAUUACUUUGUUAGCCCCCUUUCACCCUGUUCUUCUGUGGUCAGGACCCCCACAGGACCACCACGGAACAGUUAUUAAUUGUGUGGUGGAUCAUUAUCAGCACUGCAGUCACAGUGAUGUGGUGGUGGUGUGUUAGUGUAUGGUCAGCUGUUAUGAGUGGAUCAGAAACAGCAGUGCUGCCAGCCACCAAAAUUAUACCUGCUCUAUGGUGACCCAGUGAAGGUUCUGACCAUUGAAGAACAGGGUUAAAGGGAACCAACGAAGUAUGCAUAGACACGGAUGGACUACAGUCCUGAUAAAAUGAAAAAAGAAUGUAUACAGGAGGUGUACUUAAUGAAGUAGCUGGUUCUGUAUGUUCUGUAUGUCAACAGAGUGAAAGGUAUGUUUGGAAACUUUAAUAAUGUUUACACACGACAUAAAACUCUUUCAAAAGAGUCAAAUUUUUGAGGAAAAUUUGGUGUCUCAUAGGGCCGACCUGAAUAAUCGACUUAUAAUUAUUAGUUUAAUAGAACACUCUUAUAGAAUUUUCAGAGUUAGGGGCUUAUUUAUCACUGUUUUGAGCAAAACAUUGUAUUAUAAAACCAAAAAAAAAUGUCACUUUACAUUGCUUUACACUGGAUGUGAUGUUAGGCUACAGAAUUAUGUCAUACCCAAGUAAGGUUGGCUAAAGGCUGAACACAGCCACACUCCUCUUUACAAACUGAAAACUGGAAUAGUUUGAUUAAGAAAACAAACAAUCCAAAUUAUCGUUAAUUAUGAAUGUAAACGUUCUAAUUUUUAGGGGAAGUGCUGAGAAUGAGUAUUCGAGUAUUUGUUCAAAAACACCAGCGAGCAUUCAAAGCAUGUAAAAUGCUGUUUGGGCCAAUCGUAGUUUCUUAAGUGACUCGUGUCAUUAAAGGUGCAGUGGGUAAGAUUUAGACAUCUAGUGGUAAGGUUGCAGAUUGCAGCCUACUAAAUACCCCUCCCUUUUCAAGCGUGUAGUAGAACUUACAGUGGCUGUCAUGUAUUCGCUUCUUUGACGACAAGCAUUCACCUUUCUUUGCUUUUUUGUGCUAAAUAGUAACUGUGAUCCUCCAUUUGUCAAAAUUUGGGUUCUUAAACUUCUUACAACACAAAAUGGUUAGCCAGCGCUGGCAGC